CGCAAAUACGGAAAGUUGCCCUCCCUCUGCGUGCGUUUCGCAUCCUCCAGCUGCUGUGUUUUCGACCCACGUUUGAAAAAAAAAUCUGGAGGAAGAAGAUGAUUCCAAAAACAUGGUCAUCUACCGCUGUCCCAUUCUUCGACACCGCUUUUGCAUCUACAAAUGCACGCUGCUAUGCAGAAAUCAGGUGAAAGUUUUAUUUAAAGGGUUGGGUUAAGAUAGCAUGGCUGAUUUGCGUUUUUAAAAAAUUUAUUGUUCCAUGGCCAAGAUAAAGAGGACUUUUCAUGGGGAAAGGCUUAAAGGUAGUAUGGACUUUACCUUAUUCCUUCAAACUGAAUUUUAGUUAUAAAAUCUAAAAACACUGUGAUGCUUACUUGCCAUUUGGAGGCACCAAUCUGACAUCUUUGAUGGAAGCAGUAAGAAUAAAUUUGAAAGAACACACCCAUCAUCAACAUAUUUUUAAAAACCCUUUUAUUUGGUAUAAAGGCUACAUCAACAGUCAAACUCAUCCAUGACAAUAUUUCAACAAACUAUAUUCAUAGAUGCUGAGUAACAACAAGAUAUAUCUACAUUCCAUCUGUUUUCUGCAGGAAAGCAAAUAUCCUGAUCAGAAGUGACACACACAAUGAUCUAGGUUCAUCGCAGAGACACCCAAAGUGUCACAAAGGAACCACCUACCAAAGUAUGUUUUUGUUUGUUUCUAGGAUAAGCUAACCAUGGUGAUGGGGGUGCCUCCUGGAUAGAAGGAACUGCAUCUGCAAACUCCCAAGGAGGAGGCACCAGAACCUCUUGGAUCUGCUGGGAAGACGGGCUGUAGGAAGGGGGUGGGAGGAACAGAUGGAGAGUCACCUCCCCUGAACUCCACUUUCUUUCAAGAACACAGCACAGCAGAGUGCAAAGGAUGUGGGCUUCAAAGUCACAGAAAUGGGCUCAGGUUCUGAUUCUUGCUCACAUAUGUGUGAACUUGGGCAAGACAACUUCUUUGAGCCCAGUUUCUUCAUGUCUAAAAUGACAGGAGUAUGUACAACCUCAGAGGUUUCAUAAACAUUACAUAAGAGAGCAUUAUCCAAUCCUGGAGAAUGUCUGGGGCAUCAGAAUUUGGUGACUUGUUCACAGCUGCAUAGAAAAUCUAUAGUUAGAAGUGGACUGAAAUAUCCUGAAUUAGUAAGUUUCCAUGUGACCAGCACUCAGAACAGUGGGUGAGGGCUCAGUCCAGUGGAGUCGGAUUCAGACCUGUGCGUGAGGGCCCCUGCUGCUGCCUGAGGCAUGGUACCUGUGCUGUUAGGAUGGUAUAUAAGUGUGGCUGGCUGGGAUAUGCUAGGGCUAUGAAUUCAUAGCCCUAGUUAAGAACAGUGUAUGUUUUGCUCACCUGACCCUUCCCUAAAACCAUGGGGACAUUUCAAGGCUGCUUUCUCUGAUAUUUUUGCCACUAUUGUAAUGCAGUCCAUUAGGCAGAGUGCUUGAGACACUGUCUUAGUCCAUGUGUGCUCCUAGAACAAUAUAUCAUACACUGGUAGCUUAUAAACAACAGGAACAUAUUCCUCAGUUCUGGAGGCUGGAAGUCCAAUAUCAAGGCAGACUGGGUGUUUGGUGAGGGCCCGCCCUCCUCACCAAUGGCGCUUUCUCACCGAGUCCUCACAUGGGGCCCGCCCUCCUCAUAGAUGGCGCUUUCUCACCGAGUCCUCACGUGGGGACUGCUUUCUUCAUCGAUGGCGCUUUCUCCCCGAGUCCUCACGUGAG